AUGGGAUGGGUCGGCUCGAGGCUGCUGCUGCAGUCGCCGCCGCCUGCGUUCCCGCUCGGCUCCAACGACGACCAGCUCGAGCGCGCUCGCGCUCGCGCCAUGGCCCGCGCGGCCUCCGUCCGUCGACGCUCCCUUGCCGCAUCUCUCGCGCCCAAGACCCCGCAUCCCAACCUCCUCAACCGGGACGAGGUCAUGGACCUAUUCCAUAACUGCAUCAAACUCGCCUCGGAGAACGGACGUGCCUCACCCACCGUCAAAACCCUACAUCAAAUUUGGCAGAAAAUCAACCAGAAGAAUACGUGGGAGCUGGGGCUCAUCGACCACCUCAGCAAGAUCAUCCAUGCUGGGGAGGAGGAGGACGACGAGACCAACUUCCAGAAAGCUAGCUGCACGCUAGAGGCUGGCGUCAAGAUCUAUUCUCUGCGUGUGGAUUCGGUGCACUCUGAGGCGUACAAGGUGCUCGGCGGGAUCAACCGCGCAGGAAGGGGGGAAGAGGCUGGUGGCGAUGCAGAGCCUGCACAAGAAGAAGGCGUCAACAAAAAGGAUGUUGAUAGGAGGAUUUCACCUGCUUCGACGCUGGAGCCCUCGUUUGAGGCUCUUAAUGUGAAGAAGUUUGAUGCUGCCUUUACGGUGGAUCCUCUAUACCAUCAGACCACUGCUCAGUUUGAUGAAGGUGGAGCAAAGGGGCUCUUAUUGUAUAAUCUUGGAGUAUAUGGCAGUUGUUGUGUGCUUUUUGAUUCGUUUGAAGCGCCAGACAAAUGCAUCUUAUCUGAUCCUGAGAAGGCUGAGGUGAUUGAUCUUUCAUUUGCUAAGUUUGAUGAAGAGAAUAAAAGGCCAUCACAUGAUGCAUCUUCCGGGCAAAUGCUGGUGAUGGAAGAUCAGGUGGUUGACAGUAAUGAUGACAGCAUGCCACCUGAUUGUGGAACUUGGGAUUUUGGUGGUUGUGAUGAUCAGGACAGUGCGUAUGAUGAAAACUGCAACCCAAUGAAUUUCAACUCAACAAACUAUGAAAAGGGUCCAGACGGUCCUGAUGUAGAUGAAAGGCUCGAGAAAAUUGCAGAUUUGUUGUCACUCGGCGCGGGAUUCUCUUCCAAAACAAAUGCUUGGGCUGGACCCGAGCAUUGGAAAUAUCGAAAAGUUAGAGAUCUGGAGCCUGCCCAAGCUUCUUCUGGUGAUUUGGAAGUAGCAAAAAAGGCAAAGAAGAAGAAAGGCAAAGAGGAGCCUGAUAUUGAUUUCACCAAAGCAUUGGAACAUGAGAAGGCAAAUGUUUUUGCACCUCCCAAGAACCCAAAAUCAUUGUUGCUGCCUGCAAAUAAGGGUAGCUGCAACAAUAAACUUCCAGAGGAUUGUCAUUACCAACCCGAAAGCCUUGUUAAAUUAUUUCUUCUUCCAGAUAUUUUGUGUCUGGCUCGGAGAAGAAGAAAACCACUUGAUGAUUCAAGGGGCAACAGCGAUGACUUUAUGCCAUCCAGACAUUGGGACGAUGAUGACCUGGGCAAUGAUCAUGUUGAUGAAGGGGAUGCGGCUAGUGAUGUGGAAGAGCCAGUAAAUCUUAUUGCCAAACCAAGACAGGUCAAUAAGAUCGAUGUACAAUAUGACAAGGUAUCGAAACAAGUCGAUGUUCAUGCCUUAAAGGAAGUGCUCUGGAAUCACAUUCAUACAUCUGCUAAGACUGCUGAUCUGGAAAGAGAUGGCAUAGAACCGUCUCUGUGCCUGACGAAGGUACUGCAUGAUCUUCCAUGCAGUAACAGAGAUGUUUCAACGACUGAAAUCUCGCCACACCUCUAUUUCAUUUGUCUCUUGCAUCUGACAAAUGAACACAGCUUGACGCUGCGCGACUGCCCGACGUUGGAUGAGAUCGACAUAUACAUUCUGACUUCACCGCUUGUGAAGUAA
rnacentral:rRNA from 1 species